AACGCACAUUGCGCCCCCUCUAACAGGGGGGCAUGCCUGUUCGAGCGUCAUUUGUAUCUCAAUGGACAGUGUUCUGUUCGUGUUGGGCUUCGUCCGAAGGGGCGUCGCCUCAAAGAAAUGGGCCCUGUGAGCGGACGGGAUCUCUAGUGGACUGACCGUUUGCGGGCGCUCGGACCCUUCGAAUGUCGACCUCGGAUCAGGUAGGACUACCGCCUGAACUUAA
rnacentral:misc_RNA from 1 species